AAGGUAGCAAAUUUCCUUGUCGUUUAAGUAACGACCUGCAUGAAAGAUGGAACGAUUCGAUAGCUGUCUUGCGUACAUGUGCUGGUGAAAUGUUAGGUAGUGUGAAGAUACGGUAACAACGUUAUGGGACAAAAAGACCCUGUGAAGCUUUAUAGGGAUAGAAUUUAGUACGGGUUCAAUAUUGGUAUAUCUUCAUGCUAUGCAUCUUCAUUACAAGGAAAAACAGUGAGAUACCAUUCAUUGAGAAUACGGUGAGAUUCUUUGGCCCAAGUUGUUAAGCAUUAUAUUUCUUUCAAGGUGUUUCAAGAUGUUUAUCUUUUCAUGCAUCAUUUUGAAACAUGUUAUACCUGUUUUUCAUGCAUCGUUGUGAUGCAUUAUAAUGAAUUAUAAGGUGUUUAUCGUUGUUAUAUGGUAUUGUUAUGCAAAUGUUAGAUGGGCUGUUUCAUUGGGGAGAUGACCUUCUAUAAUAUAACUAAAGGUUAACAAAGCAAUUGAUGUGGCCUUUGAUCAAGGACUAGUAAGUGCAAAGAUUGAUGUGUGGCUUAAUGGUCAAGCGUUAGAUCCAGUAUUUAAAUGGUGUCUUAGUGACCUUCAAAUUAAUCUAUCAGAUAAAAGCUACUCUAGGGAUAACAGGCUUAAUUCUUUGGAUAGCUCACAUUAACAAAAUCGUUUUGCACCUCGAUGUCGGCUUAUCUUUUCCAAAUGGAAAGCAAUCAAUCAGGAGUGGGAGUGCUCAUCCCAUAACAAGGUACGUGAGCUGGGUUCAGAACGAUGUAAAUCAGUUUGGUCUAUAUCU
rnacentral:rRNA from 1 species